UGACAGCCAUCGCGUGAUCGUGUCGAGCACCGCCACUUCCUUUAGAAACCCUAACAUACCUAUGGCGUGGGACUUCAGGUGAGAGGAUCGUCGAUUUCUGCCACCAGCCGCUGUCACCACCGUCGUCUCUAGUAAGAUCCCCUUUUUUCUCUUUUCUUCCGGUCUAUGGGUUGCUGCCAUGAUUUAAAGGGCAGUGCCCUUUUUCUCUCUUUUCUUCUUGGAUAUCCAAUCGCCGUCGAUCGGAUAUUCCCCUGGACAUCGUUG
rnacentral:lncRNA from 1 species